rnacentral:rRNA from 1 species
UACGUAGGGUGCGAGCGUUAAUCGGAAUUACUGGGCGUAAAGCGUGCGUAGGCGGUUCGUUGUGUCUGUGGUGAAAGCCCCGGGCUUAACCUGGGAAUGGCCAUGGAAACUGGCGAGCUGGAGUGUGGCAGAGGGGGGUGGAAUUCCGCGUGUAGCAGUGAAAUGCAUAGAGAUGCGGAGGAACACCGAUGGCGAAGGCAGCCCCCUGGGCUAACACUGACGCUGAGGCACGAAAGCGUGGGGAGCAAACAGG